rnacentral:misc_RNA from 1 species
AAUCAAUGGAACGGAAGAUCUGUACAUGCCAAUUUUCUGAAUGAUCUUCCCCAUAUACAUGUAGUUUAGGAUCAUCCUCUGGGAUUGCAGUACUAUCCUUUAAAACAGCAAAAGCAGGGCUGAGUAUCCAUGAGAUACGCUCAAUUUUUAGCAUAGCAUCAUCAUGCCAAUGAGACAUUGUUUUCUUAAAGAACUUGAAUUCCCUCCACUUUGUCGCUUUCCUCCAUCGUUGAGCAAAAUUUAUAAGCACAUCAUAUACAGCAGGUCCAUCAAUUCUGCAAUGCAA